GCCGAUGUAGCACAACAGGCGGUGCACCGGGCUGUUAACCCGGCGGGUGCUGGUUCGACCCCAGCCAUCGGUGCCA
rnacentral:tRNA from 1 species